rnacentral:rRNA from 1 species
AUGAGGCUCUUGUCGUUCGUGCCCUGCGGCUGCCGUGCUGGACCCAUCGACGACGCGCCGCCUGCGGAUCAGCAGGCUGCUGCCACGACCACCGGCGCGGCGGCGAGGAGGAGGCGGAGGAGGGCCAGGUCGCUGGGCGGCUCGCCGCAGUGGAGGCCGGCGCUUGGGGACAUCUAUGAGGGUGUCGCGGUGGACGUGGGCAAGGCCGCAGCGGGUGGGCGCGUCGUCCCGGCCAGGCCCGGCAGGGUGGCCUCCAGGGUCCUGCCCCGCGCGCACAGCGACGAAUACAGGCACAUCGAGACGGCGUCGUCGAUGCCGGCGUUCGCGCCGACGGCGUUCCUGUUCUGA